ACUUUGCUCCUGCUAUUAAAAUGCGUACAUGUGUUCUGCUAAUUGAGUAGUUGGGAAGAUGUGAAAAAGAACAAGCUCUUUAGGUGUUCAGUACAAUUUAUUAUUUUAAUUCAGUUCAAAAAACCUUAUUUUAUAACCCUGUAAUAUACAUGGUUGGCAAAAAGAUGGCUAUAGUUGUUAUAGCAAAAACAGUACAACUUUCUAAAAGUUUAUUUUUUGAACUUCUCCCAAUUAAUAUACUGAACUUGAUUAUCUUUUUAACAGUACUUGCAUGAGCUCGUUGGAAUUUGUGCGUGUGCUUGUAACACAAUCAGUUCAGAUCUCGAGAGACCAUAAGUUUGUUGACAAAUAUGUAUAUUAGUUCAGAUCUUGAGAGACCAUAAUUUUGUAAGGUCAGAAAAAGCAAUGGCUCAGUACAUCAAAAUUUUGUAUAAUUGCUGCUUUUGAUGUCUUGUAGUGCAGAGAAGGCUUAAAAAAUCAUGUUUCUCUAGCUGAAAUGUUUGAUGCUAUGUAGGUUCUUGUUAGGACUCAGGGCAUGAGCUCGUCCAGCAGGGGUGCUGGCAGCCGUCCAAGUGGAGCGUUGACACCAGUACAAGUAGAAUCGCGGGUCAUGGCCACCAACUUCAUCAAGUGCUGCACAUCCGUCCAAGUCGAGCACGCUCUGGGAGAACACCAGCGCCUUUGCUUUGCACAUUGCUUGGUCAUGCAUGAUUGCUGAUGGAUGUAGCAAGCGUUUUAUUAGUUUGAUCUUCUGUAUUUUGUCUCAGUUUUCGUGGAUGCUAGCCGGCAAGUGACAUGAUUUUGGUUGCUUCUCUCUGUAGCAGAUUCCAUCCGCACAAAAAAUGCUACUUCGGUUUGUUCUAUGUAAAAAAUGAAUAAGGUUCAAUUCACAAAAAAUGUGGAUGUUUGCUUGGGAAAUUCUGCAGUACAUUUGAUUACACCAAGAUGUACAGAAUGACUAAUUCUUUAUUGUGUGCCUUCAGCACAAUUUAAAAUUACUAGUUGACCAUAUGUAUAAUGGGUUUUCUUUGUCUACAGAAAAACUAAUAUGUGAGGAUAUCUCAGGUUUCUGUGUGAACUUGUAGUGUGUUACUAUACAUGUACUUGUAUGUAAGGAAU
rnacentral:lncRNA from 1 species